UCCUAUCCUAGGAUCAAAGGCCUUUCAUAAUAUAUGUCAAACAUAUAAAACUGGACGGUCCACAAUUCAAUUUAAAAUUUGCAUACGAUCACCAGAUGCAUAUAUCUGAUGAAUUAAGAAAUCGAACAACUAUAGGGAAUUUGUUUUAUAUUUUUGCUCACUUACACAAAGGAACAAAACAAAACAAAAAAGACAACAUUGGGUUCAUCGCUACUCGAAUGUUUAAGAUAAGUGAUCUUGAAACACGAGUAGAUGUUGAACUCGGACAUUAUGGAUGUCAUUUUUCGUGAAUUUGAUGCCUAAAAUACGGUCAUAGUCAAAUCACAUUUAAAACGCAAAACAAAAAAACACCCUCUCCAAAUUUUGUUUAAUGCAGUUUUUGUCAUUCUAGAUCCGGUGGUGGGAGAAAAUUAAAGAUUCACUUGCGCCUUUUUCAAAUGUUACGCUAGAAAAAUUGGCUUAAAAAAGUACAAAAAUACUUAUAUCUUUUGAUAGAAACAUCGUACAGCUUUGAUGUCUUCUGACGAAAUGUGUAUUUUGGCAAUAUGUACAAUUGCUCUGAACAUAGUAGGCUUGAAAAAAUGAUAGUUGUUGACAUAUGACAAAAAAACCGAUUUCGGACUUUUUAUUUCUUCAAUAAGUUAUAUCUCCUCAGAUUGAAGAGAUAGAAAAAACUGCUCUUCGAGAAAGUUGUCGGGGUUUUUACCUUCUUCAACUUUGCAGAACAUUUUAUUUCGAUAUCUUUUGAAAUAAAAAAGUUAGGUGCUGAAAUAUGAAGUAUUUUAAGAUUUGGCGUUUAGGACACUUUUGCAUAUAACGCGGCUUGAACUCACGAGCAAAUGUCUAGAAGACAUGAAGACUCUAUCUUGGAUGGUUUUUGAGUUAUUAAUUUUUUCCACUUAAUGUUGGUCCUCGGACCAUUGUGCAUUCGUCGAGCAGACAUAGUAAAAUUGACUCAAAAAAUGUUGGCCAAAACUUGCAACAUUUUCGAGCUUACAACGCAUCAUAGUUGUUGCAAAUCUGCAGAUGUUUUAUUAAUCUUUUAGCUCGCUGAAUAUCAUUUGCAUUUCUGUUCGCCAUAUUGAUAAGUUUCUUUUCGGGAAACGUUUGCUUAAUUAGCGGAUAAUUGCGCAGAGGGACUAGGAAAGGGUGGCUGCGGAUGGAAUUUUCGACUGUACGGGCCUGUUAAUAAUUGCUUUGGUAACUGCAAGAGUAUUCCUUUGCCACACCAGAGGCCACAUCUCCAGCACUUUGCGGGUCACAGCGCAAACACGACGACAACCGUUUGAGAAAUCCAGCUCCCUAGAUGCAACAGUGGUCCUCUAAAAUGCUGCUCCCUUAGCGGUUUCAAUCAGCGAAGAACGAC